ACCCGCUGAACUUAAGCAUAUCAAUAAGCGGAGGAAAAGAAACCAACAGGGAUUGCCCUAGUAACGGCGAGUGAAGCGGCAACAGCUCAAAUUUGAAAUCUGGCUCCGGCCCGAGUUGUAAUUUGCAGAGGAAGCUUCUGGUACGGUACCGUCCGAGUCCCCUGGAACGGGGCGCCAUAGAGGGUGAGAGCCCCGUAUGGAUGGAUGCCAAUCCUGUGUGAAGCCCCUUCGACGAGUCGAGUAGUUUGGGAAUGCUGCUCAAAAUGGGAGGUAAAUGCCUUCUAAAGCUAAAUACUGGCCAGAGACCGAUAGCGCACAAGUAGAGUGAUCGAAAGAUGAAAAGUACUUUGAAAAGAGGGUUAAACAGCACGUGAAAUUGUUGAAAGGGAAGCGCUAGUGACCAGACUUGCGCUGGGCUGAUCAUCCGGUGUUCUCACCGGUGCACUCUGCCCGGCUCAGGCCAGCAUCGGUUCUAGCGGGGGUAUAAAGGCGCCGGGAACGUAGCUCCUCCGGGAGUGUUAUAGCCCAGCGUGCAAUGCCCCCGCCGGGACCGAGGUUCGCGCAUCUGCAAGGAUGCUGGCGUAAUGGUCAU
rnacentral:rRNA from 1 species